rnacentral:rRNA from 1 species
UACGGGGGGGGCAAGCGUUGUUCGGAAUUACUGGGCGUAAAGGGCUCGUAGGCGGCCAACUAAGUCAGACGUGAAAUCCCACGGCUUAACCGUGGAACUGCUUGGUAUACUGGCGGUCUUGAGCCAGCUAGGGGCUACCGGAACAAAUGGUGUAGCGGUGAAAUGCGUAGAUAUCUGGAGGAAUACCGGUGGCGAAGGCGGCAUCCUGGACCGACAUUGACGCUGAACGGCGAAAGCUAGGGGAGCAAACGGG